rnacentral:rRNA from 1 species
UCGUCAGCUCGUGUUGUGAAAUGUUGGGUUAAGUCCCGCAACGAGCGCAACCCUUAUCCUUUGUUGCCAGCGGUUCGGCCGGGAACUCAAAGGAGACUGCCAGUGAUAAACUGGAGGAAGGUGGGGAUGACGUCAAGUCAUCAUGGCCCUUACGAGUAGGGCUACACACGUGCUACAAUGGCAUAUACAAAGAGAAGCGACCUCGCGAGAGCAAGCGGACCUCAUAAAGUAUGUCGUAGUCCGGAUUGGAGUCUGCAACUCGACUCCAUGAAGUCGGAAUCGCUAGUAAUCGUGGAUCAGAAUGCCACGGUGAAUACGUUCCCGGGCCUUGUACACACCGCCCGUCACACCAUGGGAGUGGGUUGCAAAAGAAGUAGGUAGCUUAACCUUCGGGAGGGCGCUUACCACUUUGUGAUUCAUGACUGGGGUGAAGUCGUAACAAGGUAACCGUA